rnacentral:SRP_RNA from 1 species
CGGCGGUGGAAGGGCUGGGGAGCUCGGCCUGCCCUCUCAGGAGGUUCUUGCCUCCUGAGCCGCAAACGGUCGUCAUGGCGGGGCCAGCAACCGAGAGGAGCGGCUGGUCGAACGCUGGGCUAGCCAGCUUAAGCGUCGAGGAGGCCUCGCCCCAUGGGGUCGGCAUAGAGGGCCAAGCCUCUCGUAGGAGAGGCCCCAGCCCUCGAGCUAGCCGAACCAGGUCAGGCCCGGGAGAGGAGCGCGCCUCCCUCGAAGGAGCAGCCUUAAGGCUAGGUGUCGGCGUUCAUGGGAACCCGGGGCUGAGAACGCUUAAGCGAGCAGCCUAGCGGGAGGCAAGCCCAUCCUCUUGGGGCAUCGCCG